rnacentral:rRNA from 1 species
GACGAACGCUGGCGGCGUGCUUAACACAUGCAAGUCGAACGAAGUGGCGAACGGGUGAGUAACGCGUAAUCAACCUGCCCUUCAGAGGGGGACAACAGUUGGAAACGACUGCUAAUACCGCAUACUGAAGGCGGGGAUUGCGUUUGAUUAGCUAGUUGGAGGGGUAACGGCCCACCAAGGCGAUGAUCAGUAGCCGGGCUGAGCGGGUGAACGGCCAAAUUUGGACUGGGACACGGCCCAGACUCGUACGGGGGGCAGCAGUGGGGAAUCUUCCGGAAUGGACGAAAGUCUGACGGAGCAACGCCGCGUGAGUGAUGACGGCCUUCGGGUUGUAAAGCUCUGUUAAGCGGGAAGCGGUACCGGAAUAGAAAGCCACGGCUAACUACGUGCCAGCAGCCGCGGUAAUUC